CGGCCGCGUCGACAAGAGCUUGUAGGCGGUUUGUCGCGUCUGCUGUGAAAUCCGGGGCUCAACCCGGACGUUGCAGUGGGUACGGGCAGACUAGAGUGUGGUAGGGGAGACUGGAAUUCCUGGUGUAGCGGUGAAAUGCGCAGAUAUCAGGAGGAACACCGAUGGCGAAGGCAGGUCUCUGGGCCACUACUGACGCUGAGAAGCGAAAGCAUGGGGAGCGGAACACGGAAUUAGGAUUACCGNGUUACGUCGAUCGCGUCGGACCGCGGCCGCGAACGCAACGCCAAGGGAUAGGGGAUG
rnacentral:rRNA from 1 species